GAAAUAGAGUGGAAUAUGGCA
rnacentral:siRNA from 1 species